rnacentral:misc_RNA from 1 species
UUUCCGUAGGUGAACCUGCGGAAGGAUCAUUAUUGUAUAACCGAGGUGCGAGGGCUGUCGCUGACCCGAAAGGUCGUGCACGCCCGAGUGCCCUCACACACUCCCAUCUCACCCCUAUGUGCACCACCGCGUGGGUCCCCCUUUGGCUUGUUCGGAGGGGGGCUUACGUUUUCACACAAACUUUGUAUGCAGUGUAGAAUGUAUUUUUUGUUUUUGCGAUCACGCAAUCAAUACAACUUUCAACAACGGAUCUCUUGGCUCUC